ensembl:lncRNA
AAUGCAAAGCUAUGGAAGAAAGGAAAGAAAAAUGAAUUUAAUGAAAGGAAUAGUCAAAGCAAAGCCAAAGGAGCGCCGAGCCAAAAGGUAAGAAAAGAAAAUUCAUUCGAAAAAUCCCAUAAAAAGCUAAAAUGACACAAACAAACAAACAAACACAAAAAUGGAAAACCAAAUAAAGAAAAAGCAAAGCAAAACAACAAAUGGAAUGCAAAGAUAAAGCAAAAAGAAGUCAGCAAAGGAAAGAUAAAAAUGAAGGAUCAGGAGGGCUAAUAGCAGGUAAGUAAAGGCGAGGUAAGGGGAAGGUGACGAGCAUGGGGACAAGGAAGGAGAGAAGGAAGGGAAGGAAGAGAAAAAUGUAAAGGAUGAAAAAGGGAAUCACAAAGGAAUGCAAAGAGAACUAGCUUGAAAAGGGCAGGAAUGGAAAAGAACCAACAAAAGGAAAAGAAACAGUAGAAGGAAAAAUGAAAGGAGCAGUAAAGAAAAGCAAAAUGGAAAGGGGAAAAAAAAAAGCAAAACUAAAAGGCAUAGCAAAGCAAUGAAAUACCAAGGAAAAGAAAAAACAGAAUGCCGUAUCCUGGCAAAGCAAAGGACUCAAAGAAAUUCAACAAGAAAAAACCUGCCAUCCAAAAUUGUUCAAAGAAAAAAAAAAUGACAAAAAGGAUACAAGCAAAGCCACGGAAAGAAAAGCAAACUAGCAAAGAAGAAAGGAAACCAAAGCAAAGCGAGAAAACCAUGAAGCCAUGCAAAAUGCAAAGCAAAGGUAUGAAAGGAAAACCAAAGAGCAAAGCAAAGCACCAGACAAACAAUAAAAAGAAAAGCAAGAAAAGAAACUGAAAAGGAAAGGAAACUAAAGAUAAGUAAUUUGAUAAGAAGAGAAAGGGGAAGGAAAAAAAGGAAUGCAAAGAAAUGAACUGGAAGGAAGAAAACCACAUUAAGGAAAUAAACAAUGGAAAGCGAAGCAAAGCGAGCAGUACAGAAAUCUGAAUUAGAAUUAAAAGGCAGAGCAAAGCAAAGCAAGUAAGGGCAAGGCUAGAGGAAGGAGACAGGCAAGGGGACAAGGAUACGGGCAAGGAAAAGAAGGCAAAGAAGAAUGCAAUUACAAAACAAAUAGGAAACUGAAAGGAGACCACAGAAAACCCAUUUGAAAAGAGAAGAAAAUAGAGAGAUAGUUUUACAACGAACAACAAUAAGAGAAAGCCAGCUGAUGGGAAAAGCAAAAGCCAGCUGAAAGCACAGCAGGAAC